GAAUUAACCUUGGAUGAUGUUCAGAAUUCUCAGAAGAAAAGUUUGAAAAUAGUUUUGAAAUACAGUAUUAUCAGAUAGUACUACCUAAAGCACACAGUCAGAUCCACUUUCAGAUCUCUUUCCACUCUCAAAACAACAGAUUAGAGUCCUUUAAACUGCAGAAGUAUUAGAUCACUGCCAAUUUAUCAACAAAACAAAGUAAGGAGCCUCUUAAAAACAAUCACCUCAUAAUUUUUCAAAAUAACUGAAGAAGCAAGUUGUGAGCUCAGCUACUAUAUAUGCAAAAGACUCCUGCAGAUGACCAGAGAAUAGAGAUGACAGGCAGCAGUGAAAUGUGGCACAAAAAUCUCUGUCUCUGGGACCAUUCGAAGAGUUCUGAAUCACAACUUCGGCACCUGUUAGUGGAGUAGUCUCAGGAAAGUCACUUAACAUUUCUGAACCUUGCUUUCUCUUUAUAAAAUAAAGAAAAUAGAAUCUAUUAGG